rnacentral:rRNA from 1 species
GUCCAGACUCCUACGGGAGGCAGCAGUGGGGGAUAUUGCACAAUGGGGGGAACCCUGAUGCAGCGACGCCGCGUGGGCGAAGAAGCGCCUCGGCGCGUAAAGCCCUAUCAGCAGGGAAGAAAAUGACGGUACCUGACUAAGAAGCCCCGGCUAACUACGUGCCAGCAGCCGCGGUAAUACGUAGGGGGCAAGCGUUAUCCGGAUUUACUGGGUGUAAAGGGAGCGUAGGUGGCAUGGUAAGCCAGAAGUGAAACCCCGGGGCUCACCCCCGGCGAGCCGUUGAAACUGGCGGGCUGGAGUUGGAGAGAAGUACGCGGAAUGCGCGGUGUAGCGGUGAAAUGCUUAGAUAUCGCGCAGAACCCCGAUUGCGAAGGCAGCGUACCGGCUCCACACUGACGCUGAGGCACGAAAGCGUGGGUAUCGAACAGGAUUAGAUACCCUUGUAAU